rnacentral:tRNA from 1 species
GCCCGGGUGGCGAAAUGGCAGACGCACUACCUUGAGGUGGUAGCGCCGCAAGGCAUGCAGGUUCGACUCCUGUCCCGGGCACCA